CCAGACACCUAUCCAAGAAUGAUUUGUUUGUCGAUAAUUACUAUAACAAUUUUAAUUAUGGUGGCGGUAAUUGGUCAAAAAUUUACAAAUGUGAGUGAAACAGUAUUUGAUGCUACUUUUGAAAUUAAAUGGUACACCUUUAAUACAAAAAAUAAGAAACUGUUAUCAAUAUUCUUAAUGAAUUGCAUAAACCCUUACACGUUAGCCAUGUCAGAAACGGUUAUUCUAGAUUACACAAUCAUGGUUAAGGCAGCAAACAAUUUAUAUUCAAUGGCAACUGUUUUGAGUGGUUUUGCUAGUAGACAACAUCAAAC